UUCGGUUCGGGGGGGGGGGGGGGGGGGUAGGUUCAUUUCGGUACGUUCCGGUACGAUUCGGUACGGUGUACCAUUCCGUCUGGUUCGGUAAACACAAAUUAAAACAAAAAUUACUAAUUUCUUGUGUCUCGCUUACAUGUGUGUGAAAUUGAGGAUGAAGGUGGGAAAUUGAGGAUGAAGGUGUGAUUAUUGAGGCUGGAAUUGUAGAUAUAUAUACAUGAUUGGCGAUUUCUGGAAUUUUGGUAAUUGGUUAGAAAAUAUGGUAACGUCGAUACGGUAUCUAUAUUUUUCCCGCUCUUUCACAAGCCCGCCAACAUACGUAUUGGCGCCGUAUCCAAUCCUAAUACGUAUUGACCCUUAAAAUUCGCUAUUAUUGCAAACGAAACGAAAUUCAGUGAAUUGGUGCAGGAAAUUCGCAGAAUAAUGAAACGCUGAAUUCAUGGAGCGAAUUCGUGAAUUCGAACCGUAUUAUACGAAAACGAAUUCCGUAUGGUACGAAACGUACCAAUACGAAAUUCCCCACUUUUCUAGUGAAUUCUGUGACUAUUGUUUUUUCUUACUUUAACCUGAAACUAGGGUAACGACAAGUUAACGUGCAAGUUAAAGAAUGGGAAGUGGGUUGAACAGUUAUAAAAUAUCAGUUAAUAUACAUAUCUAUACUCUCUCUCUAUAUAUAUAUCAUAGUUUUCAAUAGCGAGCGUAGCGAUCGCUAUAGCCCACUACAUAGUGUAUAGGUCUAGGCUCGCUAUUAGGGUUGUAGCGAUAGAUAGCAAUGAUGGUGAGAAUUUUUUUUAAUAUAAAUAGCAAUUAAAUAUAGCUAUAAAAUAGUUGUAUUUUAGGUUUUUGUUAAAUAUACAUGUAAAAUAGCAUAUAUACCAGGUAUUUUGAUAUAACAUACAUAUAAUUUUUUUUUAAUUUUUUUCUAGUGUGUCGCUAUUUAUAAAAUAGCAGCCCGCUAUUUAUCGCUAUUCGCUAUGUAGCAUAUAGGUACCUUAUCGCUAUUUGUCGCUAUUCAACAUUAACAACUAUGCUCUCUGUGUGUGUAUAUAUAGGGUUAGGGUAAAAUGAAAGCUCCUACGAGUUGUGAGAACUUAGAGAACUUGGCCUUAGAAAAGGUUU
rnacentral:lncRNA from 1 species